AUCUUUUUGUCUUCAUAAGCAUGCUGAUUGGGUCUUCACAGUAAUGUAAGAGAUGUGCCACCUUCAAAUCUUGUUAUGCUUUAGAUAUGCCAGUCUUAUG